UCGGCAAUGGGCGAAAGCCUGACCGAGCGACGCCGCGUGCGGGAUGAAGGCCUUCGGGUUGUAAACCGCUGUCGUAGAGGAGGAAAUGCAGGGGGGUUCUCCCUUCUGUUUGACCUAUUCUAGGAGGAAGUACGGGCUAAGUUCGUGCCAGCAGCCGCGGUAAGACGAACCGUACAAACGUUACUCGGAAUUACUGGGCUUAAAGGGUGCGUAGGCUGCGCGGAAAGUUGGGUGUGAAAGCCCUCAGCUCAACUGAGGAAUUGCACUCAAAACUACCGUGCUCGAGGGAGACAGAGGUAAGCGGAACUCAAGGUGGAGCGGUGAGAUGCGUUGAUAUCUUGAGGAACACCGGUGGCGAAGGCGGCUUACUGGGUCUCUUCUGACGCUGAGGCACGAAAGCUAAGGUAGCAAACGGGAUUAGAUACCCCGGUAGUCUUAGCUGUAAACGAUGAGCACUUGUUUGAAGGGUCCUCCAUAGCCUUUCAGACGUAGCGAAAGUGUUAAGUGCUCCGCCUGGGGAGUGUGGUCGCAAGGCUGAAACUCAAAGA
rnacentral:rRNA from 1 species